rnacentral:lncRNA from 1 species
AUCUCAUACAUAUUCAAAUAUUCCUAUGUCAUUUAUUUGUUUGGUUACACAAGAAUCUUGUGUACGGGGUCAUACAUAAUUUCUCCAUGAUAUUCAACUAUUUGUUUAUUCUUUAACACCUAAUACCUACUAUGAUUAUGUGCAACAGAUUUUCUAAUUUGAAGGUUAGGUGUUUUAAUUUUUAUUGGCUUCUAUGUUCCUUGGUAUUUUUCCUAGUAAUUGCUAAUUUGUGUUUCAUGGUGCCCUAUGUAGAUAAAAAUGUCGUUGACAACAAAAUCUGGUGAGACUUCUCUCGACAUUCAAGAUGAUGACUAUACAAAAGCUAUACAUAUCGAUGCUAGUCUAUGUGGAAGUCAAUUAGGCCCGUUUGAUACAUGGAAAAUGAGACUUGGGGAUGGGAAAUCAAUUGCUUUCUCAUAUUUGGUAAAUCUUGGCAUGAAAAAUCGUUGCCUUGCACAUGAGAAAGUAGGGGGGAAGUGAAGCCCUCCUUCCCCCUUGAGUUUUGUUUUUCUCCUUAUGAGAAAGUUUGGGAAAAUAAAACAACAUUAAAUACACAUUUUUCAUGACCAUAUUGUCCCCAUUAACAAUUUAGAAUUACAAUAUAGCAUUAAAUGCAUUCUUUUUUUAUUUGAUUUCAUAUAGGUAUAAUUGAAAAAUUAAACAAAUUUUAUUUUACAUUCCUACACAAACCAAAAAUGUGAAAGGAAAUAAAGUGGUAUUUCUUGAUUACUUUCCUAUGAUUACUAAACAUGGUAAAGGAAUCUUAAUUUUCCAUCCUUGAGAAAUGACAAGGGAAGUGAUUUCCCCUCAAAUUUGUUCCGUAAACCAAACGGAGCCUACAAAUAAUGAUUCAGCAUAUAUCAUCCAUGGUGAUCAUCGAUCCUGAAUGUAAAAUACUAUGCAUUUAUCCGUAUUUCAUUAACCAUUCAAAUAAUUUAACCGGUUAGAAUAUGGCACAUUAAAUCUAUUUAAAAUUGUUUUGUCUAUAUAAAAACAAUAUUGGAGAAGGGAGAGAUUCAAACACUGAACUUAGUGUGUGUAUAUAUAUAAUUAUUCUUAACCAAUUAAGCUACAAACCCCUUACAUAAAGAAACUUUAAUUUGCACUCCCAAGGAAGCAACAUGACCAAG